AGAGUUUGAUCCUGGCUCAGGAUGAACGCUAGCGGCAGGCCUAAUACAUGCAAGACGAGCGGUAAUUCAAAUAGCAAUAUUUGGACUAGAGCGUCGUAAGGGUGCGUAACACGUAUGCAAUCUGCCCGGAACAGGAGGAUAGCUCGGGGAGACUCGAAUUAACACUCCAUAAGACAGUGGUGUGGCAUCACACAGCUGUUAAAUCUACGGAGGUUCCGGAUGAGCAUGCGGAUGAUUAGCUAGUUGGCGGUGUAACGGACCACCAAGGCAAUGAUCAAUAGGGGAACUGAGAGGUUGAUCCCCCACACUGGCACUGAGAUACGGGCCAGACUCCUACGGGAGGCAGCAGUAGGGAAUAUUGGACAAUGGGUGCAAGCCUGAUCCAGCCAUGCCGCGUGCAGGAAGAAGGCUUUCUGUGUUGUAAACUGCUUUUGCCAGGGGAUAAAAUACGGGUGCGCCCGGAAUUGAAGGUACCUGGUGAAUAAGCCACGGCUAACUACGUGCCAGCAGCCGCGGUAAUACGUAGGUGGCAAGCGUUGUCCGGAUUUAUUGGGUUUAAAGGGUGCGUAGGCGGUCUUCUAAGUCAGUUGUGAAAUACUUCAGCUUAACUGGAGAGGUGCAAUUGAUACUGGAAGACUUGAGUACUGAUGAGGUAGGCUGAAUGGACGGUGUAGCGGUGAAAUGCUUAGAUAUCGUCCAGAACACCGAUAGCGAAGGCAGCUUACUAAGGAGUAACUGACGCUGAGGCACGAAAGUGUGGGGAUCAAACAGGAUUAGAUACCCUGGUAGUCCACACUGUAAACGAUGAUUACUCGAUGUUGGCGAUACACAGCCAGCGUCUUAGCGAAAGCGAUAAGUAAUCCACCUGGGGAGUACGCCGGCAACGGUGAAACUCAAAGGAAUUAACGGAGGCGCCCAAAGGUUCCCUCAGCCUGGUUGGUAAUCAGGUGUCGAGUGUAAGUGCACAAGGGAGCUUGACUGUGAGACCGACGGGUCGAGCAGGAGCGAAAGCUGGGACUAGUGAUCCGGCGGUGGCAUGUGGAAGCGCCGUCGCUCAACGGCUAAAAGGUACCCCGGGGAUAACAGGCUGAUCUUCCCCAAGAGUCCA
rnacentral:rRNA from 1 species